CUUAACACAUGCAAGUCGAGGGGCAUCAGGAAGAAAGCUUGCUUUCUUUGCUGGCGACCGGCGCACGGGUGAGUAACACGUAUCCAACCUGCCCUUUACUCGGGGAUAGCCUUUCGAAAGAAAGAUUAAUACCCGAUAGCAUAAUGAUUCCGCAUGGUUUCAUUAUUAAAGGAUUCCGGUAAAGGAUGGGGAUGCGUUCCAUUAGGUUGUUGGUGAGGUAACGGCCCACCAAGCCUUCGAUGGAUAGGGGUUCUGAGAGGAAGGUCCCCCACAUUGGAACUGAGACACGGUCCAAACUCCUACGGGAGGCAGCAGUGAGGAAUAUUGGUCAAUGGGCGCUAGCCUGAACCAGCCAAGUAGCGUGAAGGAUGAAGGCUCUAUGGGUCGUAAACUUCUUUUAUAUAAGAAUAAAGUGCAGUAUGUAUACUGUUUUGUAUGUAUUAUAUGAAUAAGGAUCGGCUAACUCCGUGCCAGCAGCCGCGGUAAUACGGAGGAUCCGAGCGUUAUCCGGAUUUAUUGGGUUUAAAGGGAGCGUAGGUGGACUGGUAAGUCAGUUGUGAAAGUUUGCGGCUCAACCGUAAAAUUGCAGUUGAUACUGUCAGUCUUGCGUACAGUAGAGGUGGGCGGAAUUCGUGGUGUAGCGGUGAAAUGCUUAGAUAUCACGAAGAACUCCGAUUGCGAAGGCAGCUCACUGGACUGCAACUGACACUGAUGCUCGAAAGUGUGGGUAUCAAACAGGAUUAGAUACCCUGGUAGUCCACACAGUAAACGAUGAAUACUCGCUGUUUGCGAUAUACAGUAAGCGGCCAAGCGAAAGCAUUAAGUAUUCCACCUGGGGAGUACGCCGGCAACGGUGAAACUCAAAGGAAUUGACGGGGGCCCGCACAAGCGGAGGAACAUGUGGUUUAAUUCGAUGAUACGCGAGGAACCUUACCCGGGCUUAAAUUGCAGUGGAAUGAUGUGGAAACAUGUCAGUGAGCAAUCACCGCUGUGAAGGUGCUGCAUGGUUGUCGUCAGCUCGUGCCGUGAGGUGUCGGCUUAAGUGCCAUAACGAGCGCAACCCUUAUCUUUAGUUACUAACAGGUUAUGCUGAGGACUCUAGAGAGACUGCCGUCGUAAGAUGUGAGGAAGGUGGGGAUGACGUCAAAUCAGCACGGCCCUUACGUCCGGGGCUACACACGUGUUACAAUGGGGGGUACAGAAGGCAGCUAGCGGGUGACCGUAUGCUAAUCCCAAAAUCCUCUCUCAGUUCGGAUCGAAGUCUGCAACCCGACUUCGUGAAGCUGGAUUCGCUAGUAAUCGCGCAUCAGCCACGGCGCGGUGAAUACGUUCCCGGGCCUUGUACACACCGCCCGUCAAGCCAUGGGAGCCGGGGGUACCUGAAGUACGUAACCGCAAGGAUCGUCCUAGGGUAAAACUGGUGACUGGGGCUAAAACA
rnacentral:rRNA from 1 species